rnacentral:misc_RNA from 1 species
ACACCUCAACUCUCAUGGUUUGCCAUGAUGAGCUUGGACUUUGGAGGCUUUGCUGGCCUGUGGUCGGCUCCUCUUAAACGAAUCAGCUUACCGGUGUAUUGGUGGCGUCACAGGUGUGAUAACUAUCUACGCUUGUGGUCGUCCGCCAGAGAACCUCUGGCAUCGUCGGAGGUUUUCCGGGGCUCAUAAACGUCUCCCAAGCGAAGACAGCCUUCUGAAC